rnacentral:rRNA from 1 species
GGGGAAUAUUGCACAAUGGGGGAAACCCUGAUGCAGCAACGCCGCGUGAAGGAAGACGGUUUUCGGAUUGUAAACUUCUAUCGAUAGGGACGAAAAAAAUGACGGUACCUAAAUAAGAAGCCCCGGCUAACUACGUGCCAGCAGCCGCGGUAAUACGUAGGUGGCGAGCGUUAUCCGGAAUUAUUGGGCGUAAAGGGUGCGUAGGCGGCCUUUUAAGUUUAAGGUGAAAGCGUGGGGCUUAACCCCAUAAAGCCUUAGAUACUGGGAGGCUAGAGUACUGGAGAGGAAAGUAGAAUUCCAUGUGUAGCGGUAAAAUGCGUAGAUAUAUGGAGGAAUACCGGUGGCGAAGGCGGCUUUCUAGACAGUAACUGACGCUGAGGCACGAAAGCGUGGGGAGCAAAU